rnacentral:rRNA from 1 species
UGGGGAAUUUUGGACAAUGGGCGAAAGCCUGAUCCAGCAAUGCCGCGUGUGUGAAGAAGGCCUUCGGGUUGUAAAGCACUUUUGUCCGGAAAGAAAUCCUCUGGGUUAAUACCUCAGGGGGAUGACGGUACCGGAAGAAUAAGCACCGGCUAACUACGUGCCAGCAGCCGCGGUAAUACGUAGGGUGCAAGCGUUAAUCGGAAUUACUGGGCGUAAAGCGUGCGCAGGCGGUUUUGUAAGACGGAUGUGAAAUCCCCGGGCUUAACCUGGGAACUGCAUUCGUGACUGCAAGGCUAGAGUAUGGCAGAGGGGGGUAGAAUUCCACGUGUAGCAGUGAAAUGCGUAGAGAUGUGGAGGAAUACCGAUGGCGAAGGCAGCCCCCUGGGCCAAUACUGACGCUCAUGCACGAAAGCGUGGGGAGCAAACAGGAUUAGAUACCCUGGUAGUCCACGCCCUAAACGAUGUCAACUAGUUGUUGGGGAUUCAUUUCCUUAGUAACGUAGCUAACGCGUGAAGUUGACCGCCUGGGGAGUACGGUCGCAAGAUUAAAACUUAAAGGAAUUGACGGGGUCAAGCUGUUUCCU